GCUUGAUUGCAUACUAAGCUAAAACAAAUGCUUAGAUGUCAAGCCUUACAGACCCACCCGUAUGUUUCUUCAUGUAUAAUCAUGACACAGCCCCUCCUGCAGCGGAAUAACAAGUACUGCAUCACAACCUGACGCAGCUGUCGAACUACCGUUCGACCAGCUUCUGUUGAGGACCUGGCUUCCAUCAUGUGUCAUCAUCUUGACCAUGAGCCCUUCCCCAUC
rnacentral:lncRNA from 1 species